rnacentral:lncRNA from 1 species
GUCUCUCGCUGGUGCUGGCACAGGAGCUUGGGAUCUGUCUCCUCUUUCGCCUCCUGCACCUUGAGAGCCCUGGGCUACUCUGUCACAGCCCCUGUUGCCCUGCGAUCUGUAGGUCCUUGGGGACGCAUAGUUAAGGUGCCAGGACAUCCUGGAAGCUGGGAAAUGAUUUCUUCCAGACCAUGGCUGGAGAAGGAAAGAAGGUGUGUUUUGCCUGAUUCAGGGACUAUAGAGAGAACCAAGUUCUGCAGGCCUGUCAUCUAAGUCUCAGGGCGGGGAGACCUUCCUUCCCCACGGGUUUGAGGCUAUGGCUAAGUGGUGAGCCUUGGUGAGACGCAGAAAGGAUCCAUCCCAGGCACUUGGCUAGAGGGCAAGAAAGCUUUCUAAGACCCCGAACUCCAGAUAUGCGAUGGGGCAAAUCCUGAAGCGUACAUGGCUAUCUCUCACAGCUAAAGCAUCCCUCACCCCUAUCCAGCGCUUCUUACCCCUGGCGCAAGAGAAUCACCUGCGGGGAGGAAAACUUUCAAAAUCCCUUAAACCCAAGUUGUAACCGCACAACUAAAUCAGAAUCCUUGGAGCUGGAUCUGAAAAAAAUAUGGUUGAAAGUCGUGCAGGUGAUUACAAUGUGUAGGCAAGCCAGAAAACCAUGGCUUUAACGAGCAGCUUUU